rnacentral:tRNA from 1 species
GCACCCGUAGCUCAGCUGGAUAGAGCGCUGCCCUCCGAAGGCAGAGGUCACAGGUUCGCAAGGAAGCUUACGCUUCUAUCCUGCGGGUGCA